rnacentral:lncRNA from 1 species
GCUUGGGCUCGACGGUGUGCAAUAACUAUUUUAGGAUCGAAGGUCGAUAAAAAAGAUCAAAUCAUUAUUGCACGCUGAUUACGUCAGCAUCACACAGUUGAAAUAGUGCGACACCUGCCGGUUAUUAAGAAUUAUCCUUGAAUUGUCAACCGAUCACGAACUGGAUUAAAGUUUGAAUGUAUCAUAAAUGUUGUUAUGCCAUGAUCAAAAGCAUCACUUUGUUGUUUUCUAGGUUUAUUUUAAAAAUGUUCAUCCCAAGUUCCCAGAUGGUGGUAAAAUGUCCCAACAUUUAGAACAAAUGAAUGUUGGAGAUACCAUUAAUGUUCGUGGGCCAUGUGGUAAACUGGAAUAUAAAGGAAAAGGU